rnacentral:rRNA from 1 species
UACAGAGGUCUCAAGCGUUGUUCGGAUUCAUUGGGCGUAAAGGGUGCGUAGGCGGUCGUGCAAGUCGGAUGUGAAAUCUCAGGGCUCAACCCUGAAACUGCAUUCGAUACUGCGCGGCUAGAGUGCUGGAGGGGAGACUGGAAUUUACGGUGUAGCAGUGAAAUGCGUAGAUAUCGUAAGGAAGACCAGUGGCGAAGGCGAGUCUCUGGACAGCAACUGACGCUGAGGCACGAAGGCCAGGGGAGCAAACGGG